rnacentral:rRNA from 1 species
UACGUAGGGGGCGAGCGUUGUCCGGAAUCAUUGGGCGUAAAGCGCUCGCAGGUGGUUCGUCGCGUCGUGCGUGAAAGACCCCGGCUCAACUGGGGGAGGUCGUGCGAUACGGGCGGACUGGAGGCCAGUAGGGGGAUGCGUAAUUCCGGGUGUAGUGGUGGAAUGCGUAGAGAUCCGGAGGAACACCAGCGGCGAAGGCGGCAUCCUGGACUGGUCCUGACACUCAUGAGCGAAAGCGUGGGGAGCGAUCCGG